rnacentral:lncRNA from 1 species
GUCUGUACUCUGUACUCUCUACUCUGUACGUGGUGUGUAUUUCCUGUGUGGUCUGUAUAUAGAUGCCAGAGAGUCACAGUGGUCUGUUCCUUAGUCUCUCCCCCGCCAAGCCCUUCACCCCUACUCCCUUUAAGCCAACAGCCAAGAGGACGGUCAGGAGAAGCCCCACAACUGUCUCUGCACCAAUCACACUGAGAGACACGGAAGACGACAGCUGGAGUGGGUUACACACACGCGCACGCACGCACGCACGUACCUACACACACACACACACACACCCACAUCAUUAUAGGCCUGCCAGAAAGUACCACUAGUCUCCUAGACACUGACAGGAGGGGAUUGAACAGGAAUAACCACUAGUCUCCUAGACACUGACAGGAGGGGAUUGAACUAGAAUAACCACCAGUCUCCUAGACACUGACAGGAGGGGAUUGAACAGGAAUAACCACUAGUCUCCUAGACACUGACAGGAGGGGAUUGAACAGGAAUAACCACUAGUCUCCUAGACACUGACAGGAGGGGAUUGAACUAGAAUAACCACUAGUCUCCUAGACACUGACAGGAGGGGACUGAACUAGAAUAACCACUAGUCUCCUAGACACUGACAGGAGGGGAUUGAACAGGAAUAACCACUAGUCUCCUAGACACUGACAGGAGGGGAUUGAACUAGAAUAACCACUAGUCUCCUAGACACUGACAGGAGGGGAUUGAACAGGAAUAACCACUAGUCUCCUAGACACUGACAGGAGGGGAUUGAACAGGAAUAACCACUAGUCUCCUAGACACUGACAGGAGGGGAUUGAACAGGAAUAACCACUAGUCUCCUAGACACUGACAGGAGGGGAUUGAACAGGAAUAACCACUAGUCUCCUAGACACUGACAGGAGGGGAUUGAACAGGAAUAACCACUAGUCUCCUAGACACUGACAGGAGGGGAUUGAACAGGAAUAACCACUAGUCUCCUAGACACUGACAGGAGGGGAUUGAACUAGAAUAACCACUAGUCUCCUAGACACUGACAGGAGGGGAUUGAACAGGAAUAACCACUAGUCUCCUAGACACUGACAGGAGGGGAUUGAACAGGAAUAACCACUAGUCUCCUAGACACUGACAGGAGGGGAUUGAACUAGAAUAACCACUAGUCUCCUAGACACUGACAGGAGGGGAUUGAACAGGAAUAACCACUAGUCUCCUAGACACUGACAGGAGGGGAUUGAACAGGAAUAAACACUAGUCUCCUAGACACUGACAGGAGGGCGUUGAACUAGAAUAACCACUAGUCUCCUAGACACUGACAGGAGGGGAUUGAACAGGAAUAACCACUAGUCUCCUAGACACUGACAGGAGGGGAUUGAACAGGAAUAACCACUAGUCUCCUAGACACUGACAGGAGGGGGUUGAACUAGAAUAACCACUAGUCUCCUAGACACUGACAGGAGGGGAUUGAACAGGAAUAACCACUAGUCUCCUAGACACUGACAGGAGGGGAUUGAACUAGAAUAACCACUAGUCUCCUAGACACUGACAGGAGGGGAUUGAACAGGAAUAACCACUAGUCUCCUAGACACUGACAGGAGGGGAUUGAACAGGAAUAACCACUAGUCUCCUAGACACUGACAGGAGGGGAUUGAACAGGAAUAACCACUAGUCUCCUAGACACUGACAGGAGGGGAUUGAACAGGAAUAACCACUAGUCUCCUAGACACUGACAGGAGGGGAUUGAACUAGAAUAACCACUAGUCUCCUAGACACUGACAGGAGGGGAUUGAACAGGAAUAACCACUAGUCUCCUAGACACUGACAGGAGGGGAUUGAACUAGAAUAACCACUAGUCUCCUAGACACUGACAGGAGGGGACUGAACUAGAAUAACCACUAGUCUCCUAGACACUGACAGGAGGGGAUUGAACAGGAAUAACCACUAGUCUCCUAGACACUGACAGGAGGGGAUUGAACAGGAAUAACCACUAGUCUCCAAGACACUGACAGGAGGGGGUUGAACUAGAAUAACCACUAGUCUCCUAGACACUGACAGGAGGGGAUUGAACAGGAAUAACCACUAGUCUCCUAGACACUGACAGGAGGGGAUUGAACUAGAAUAACCACGAGUCUCCUAGACACUGACAGGAGGGGAUUGAACAGGAAUAACCACUAGUCUCCUAGACACUGACAGGAGGGGAUUGAACAGGAAUAACCACUAGUCUCCUAGACACUGACAGGAGGGGAUUGAACAGGAAUAACCACUAGUCUCCUAGACACUGACAGGAGGGGAUUGAACUAGAAUAACCACUAGUCUCCUAGACACUGACAGGAGGGGGUUGAACUAGAAUAACCACUAGUCUCCUAGACACUGACAGGAGGGGAUUGAACAGGAAUAACCACUAGUC